rnacentral:lncRNA from 1 species
CCCAAGUGGAAUGAACACAUCAGGUGUUACAUGACUCAGAUUCUGUUUUAAGUUAGACUCAAUCCACAUUACAGACUUGGAGGGUCAGAAUAAUAAUGUGAAUCAGCAUGUGUUGUAAGAUGCAUGACAUUUCUGCAUCUGUCAGCAAUGACAAAUGUUCUUUCUCUUUCUCAGACUCAACUAGAUAAGUGGAUGUUUGCUUCAUUCUUAUUUUGAACAACUGACUCUAUCAAGAAACCACACCAUUUAUUUAUGCCCAGAUUAGGCAGUACAGUAUCUGACGGAAAGGACUUUGGUAAUUCAAUUUCAUAUCUAACACGCCUCACACUGUGACACAGCAGGAGAGCCCAGAGCGGCAGCUGUUGGAAUGAAUGCCCUCUUCCUGCUGAAGUCUGACAUUUCCAAGACUAAAGUGGGGAGUCCUGUUUUUUUCCGAAACAUAGCAGCAGCAGAGAUGUGGCUAUUGCGAUCAGAAUUACUUGGCUAGAAACAAGGGAAGUAAUCUUUCUGCCUCAGUCUCCAAUCCUCAGCCUGCAGGGAUUACAAUCAUAAGCCACCAUGUCUAGCACAAGGUAAGGGUGCGGUGGCACAAUCUCAGCUACUGGAGGU